UACAGAGGAUGCAAGCGUUAUCCGGAAUGAUUGGGCGUAAAGCGUCUGUAGGUGGCUUUUAAGUCCGCCGUCAAAUCCCAGGGCUCAACUCUGGACAGGCGGUGGAAACUACCAAGCUGGAGUACGGUAGGGCAGAGGGAAUUUCCGGUGGAGCGGUGAAAUGCGUAGAGAUCGGAAAGAACACCAACGGCGAAAGCAGCUCUGCUGGGCCGACACUGACACUGAGAGACGAAAGCUAGGGGAGCGAAUGGG
rnacentral:rRNA from 1 species